CCAAACUAUACUCCCUUCCCACUGUCGGCAAUCUCCACUCCCUCACUUCGACUUCCCCAAAAUUAGAUCCCAAAAAAAAGAAAUCCCAAAUCCCUAAUUCUCGCCAACUUCCACCUCCGCCAUACUACCGCCGGACGUCACUCCCGUGCACACCAUUGCCGUCGCCAGUUCGGACAGCAGCCGUCCCAGCCGUGUGCUUCCGUCGCUGUUGUGGGAUCGCUAGACCCGCCAUCGCUGCUGUGGAAUCGCCGGGUCAGCCUUCGCCGCUGCUGUUGCUCGAGUGGCUCGUCAGUGUCGGCCGUUCGUGGGUCCGUCUUCGCUACCACCGCCAGCGCCCGUGCCUCGACGGGUCAGGUUGCUGUCCGGCAGAGGCUUGAUUCACCCCGGAACAGCUCCGACACCCACCCGAACAACCCCGAAACACUCCGAAAGAUAAGGGACUCAUAAAGGGGAGUUGGGUGUUACUUCUUGAAAGAGGUAGUUCUCAAUUUUCAGCUUCCAAAACCUCAAAGUUCACACCUCAUCUCAAAAGAAUCUAGUUGCAGUGAAAGGGAAAGGGUGAGCUUGAGCUGAGUGUGAAAACAUGUGGGAAAGGGAAGGGAAGAGGAGAAAUUACCUAUGGAAAGCAGGGCUGCCUGUGAGAAAUCUGCAGAGCUCUACUCCAAGCUCUCCCUCACUUUCAAUUUGCUAUUGUGGCUGGGGAACGAAGUGUGAAUGAAGGGAGUUUUGAAGGUGGUAUGGGGGUUCUUAUAGGCUGAUCUUGGUGUACUUUGGGAGGAGUAAAUGGGGCUGCCUGGACUCUUGUUUUCAUGUUGCAGGAGAUCUCCUUUUUUUUUUAUUCUUACCACUUUUAAUUAAGGAAAAAUUUGUUUUAUGCUUAGGCCCAUGUCUCCCUACAUUAAUGUGCUUUGUCUGGUUUUAUAUAGUGUAUCAAAGAGGAUGUAAGGGCUGCCUUGAGGGGGAGGAGUUGCAGGCAUUUGACUUGCCCCUUUGGGUGGAACAAUAAUUUGGCUGUCAUACUGCUACCCGUGACAUGGGCUCACUGCCCCGGGCCCAACGGGCUGAUCGGGUAGGGCCGCGGUGAGGAUGUGGUUUGGGCUCUGGAGAAAGAGGCCCAAAGUAUAGCUAAUAGAAGCUUUUAGUUUCUUAGUCUCCUUGGCUCAUUCUUGAACAAAUUUUUUUGGUAAUAGUAUAGUAUUCCAUUUAGAUUAAUUGUAUUAUUCGAGAUGUAUACGAACAUUUUAGUUCGGGGAGAAUGACUUCAUAUCCUUGUACAACGUUCAUGUAUUUCAUAACAUACAUUAGUUCGAUUAUCACUUUAA